AUCCAUAAUACAUUCACACAACAAAUGCAACUGAGUUAUUUUGUUUUUCUGAACCAAAUCCUUCUAACCCAAAUGUUUUAUUCUUAAAUUUUCCUUCUUACAGAAGGUUUGUGACCCGUCGUUUCGGUGAUAUAUGAAAUACCAAUUUGGUUUUCCCUCUGUCAAUUUCACUUCUUCGAGCCAACUUUCUUUCUUGGAGCACUACUCCCUUUCUUCGUUUCCCAAUCCACUUGAGUCUGAAAAAAUUGUUUCUCCUUUGCUCGUUUGGUGGUGGUGAGGUGGCUUCGAGCUCGUUUGGUGGUGGUGAGGUGGCUUCGAGCUCGUUUGGUCGUCUGAGGAGGAUGUUGGAGUCUCUACACAAGGCUCAGUGGUGCGUUUCUGUCAUCUUUGUUAGGGGUUUAGUCUACGGUUGAGGGGUUUUCGUUGACGACUAUUCUAAGGUAAAGGCUUACUUGUUAUCUUUUGUUUUGUUGUCGAGGAGGUUGUCGUCGAGGUAGGGUGUCGACAAUCCCUACUGUGGAGAUUUUGUGCUAUGUGAGCGAGGUUUAUCUAAAGCAUCUUGGUGGAGGUUUUGUGUUGUGUUUCUUCUCCUACUGUCAAGGUAAGUAGGUUUCUGAUUGAACAUGAAUGUGUUGAGCCCCUAUUCUUGGUAACAGGGAGUUUAAUGAUUAAUAUUUCUUGGUGUUACGUUUUUCUAAUGUAAUUUAUCUAUUAUUGUACAAGGUUUUAGGGUUUCGAUCAGGGGCUGAGCACAAAACGUGUGGAAGGUUCCAACACAGUGGGUUAAAGUUGGUUGCAAAAGGGCUACACUCAAGUGUCCAACAGUUCAUCAUUUCCAAGUAGGUAAAGUUCAUCCUCUUGUGUUUGCCAUGUUCAUUGUGUUCUGUUAAUUGCCUUAUGAACAGAGAGUGAAUUAUAAUUGAAUUUGGAUUGUAAAGUUUGCAAUUUGAGCAAUUUGAGCAUGUAUGAAUUGCCUAUUUUGAUGAUAGCCUUGAUGGGAAAUAAAUUGUGCAAUUUGAGCAUGGAAACUAAUGUUGAUGUUGUUUUAGUUUGCUGCUAAUUGGUCUAUCUAAAAGACUAUAGCCUUAAUUGAUUAAUCCUCCCCCAAAAUAACCAUCCCCCGACUCUUUUCUGGCCACUGAUGGCCUGGACCGACCGGUCGUCCUGGAUUAUGGCGAUCGGCCUCAGACCGCUCGAUAACCACUCCUCACGUUCGUCCCCCAAAGGACUCGUCAUCUAACCUGCAACCCACCAACAUCUUGAGGUCUUGUACAGACUCGACCAUCGUCCCCUUCUGUUUGGAUGCUGCCAAACGCUCAACGUAGGUUUCAAACCUUAUCACUAGAGCUUCCUUCAAACCAUCCCAAGAACGAUUCUUGACUUUCUCCUUCCAAGCUCUGAACCAGUAACCCGCGCUCCCCUCCAUAGUGAAUUCUGCUAGGCGCACCCUUUCUCCCUCUACCACACCUUGCAACUUGAAGAACUUCUCUACCUUGGAUACCUACCCUAACAGAUCAAACCCUUCGAAAGUGGGUAGUUCUACCCUUUUCUUCCCGCAGGGUUGCACUUGGCGUUCAUCCCCUCUCUCCUUCAUCUUCCUCUCGUCGGUCCCAAUGUUGGCCUUCCUAGUUGUGGCCUCGACCACCCAACCUCCUUAUGAUUUCUCGCAAAUCUUGGCAUAUUGCUUUAUAAUCUUGGCAUAUUGUUGCAUAAUCUGGUUGCAGCGCUCCUUUCUGCGCCUUCAUUCUAUCAAUCGCAAUUUCCUUCACCCCCACACAAUUCCGACGACAUGUCUCGAUAUGGCAGUUUCUUGAAACGGCAGGUUCUGGAAUCUGGCGCCCCCACUUCGAAACGACAAUUUCUUGGUAACGUUUUUAUCCCUUCUUGAUUUUCUGACACUUGUCUCCUAAGGAUACUCGGCAACGCUCCUGAUGAUUUUGCAAUUUCUUGAUAAUCCGACAACUCCUUGAUCCUUCACCCCCACUUCAAUAACGGCAAGUCGAACCAAUUUGUUAGAUUCCUGGGUUUGGAACCUAACGAGAACUCACUCAAAAGAUAGAAACAGAAAGAAAGAAUAGGUCUUCUAUAUUAUUCACAAUAAAAGAAAGCUAUUUUACAAUGACUGGGUUGGGAGCAUAACCUUCCUGGCUGAGGGCAUAACCCUACACAACAAAAAACUCGAUACCCCCUGACACAUAACCGAGUCUUAUUUAUAGAAUUCCUCCACCUUCUAUUUUAAACCAUUAAGUCCUCUCACCCUGUAUCCUAUCACUCAUGGUUCCCUCCCAAUUGUAGGGCAUCAAUUGUAUAUAGAUGGUUAAAAUAUGCCAAACAAAGAAUAAAGUCAUACAAGCAAUGUGUUAUACUAAAAGGUGAAUGGAGUGUACAUCUCAACAAAAGAAUACCAAUCCACCGCUCAAUUAUGCACUUUCUUCAAUUUAGUUUUGCAGCUUGUCUACAAAGUUUCCAGUGGUCUAUCAAGGCCGUUUCGGUCUCCGACAAGGGGGCUGCAAUGCAACAACAAAUUCCUAACUCAAAAACCAACAUACGAGAGCACAAGCCCAUGUUGCAUGAAGGAGGCACAGGUACAUAUUCGUCCCUCUACCCAAACAACCAAACAAAAUCAAAAUAUAUCCUUAUUAAAGAAGUGUAUGAUCAAUUCAUCAAACUUGAUUAAAAGUAUGCAAAUGUAAUUUCUUCUAUAAAACAUGGAACAUAGGCAACCUUUUUUAUGGAGGAAGAAUAAAGAAACAAAAAAUGUUUUUAAAAAUCACUCCUCCCUCUCCCCGAAAGUUUACUUCAUGUUCUGUAUUUCAGAGUAGCAAAGCAUUUAAAAAAAAAUCAGGUGCUAAGAACCAAAACAGUGCGUGAAAAAUUCAACAUACCGAGCAAGUCUGCAAAUGAACCUGUCAAAAGUGAUGAAUCCAUUAACAGAGGUGGUGAGAAGACUUGAUCCUGUGCAUCCUCAAAGUCAAAAAUUGACCGCUGAGCAUCAGAUGUUGCAUUUGAACCAGUAUACGAGAGAAACCCAUUUACAUUGUCAUAAUCAGAGAGCCUUUCCAAAUCAUUCAACAUAUCUGGAAGUUCACCAAACUUGCUCAUCCCAUGCCCACCGGAUGCAUGACUCUCAAGAAAGGAAUCAUCCAUUUGUGAUACAAAUAAUCUUUUGCUUCUCAAUGAAACUCCCCCUUUUUCGGCAUCUAAAUGAGAAAAGCUGGUUUCUGAAAGGGGGACAAAGAAGUGCUCAGAACUUCCAUCAGAUUGACUAUCCCGUGAUGAAUCUGAACUACAUGACCGCAAUGACAGCGCUGCUUCUCUUACCGACCUCUUCAAAUUCUGGAGAUACAAACUGUCACUUUCUACAAAACAAAGCCAUUAUCAGCCACUUUUUCUAACAUAACGAUGAAAUGCCCUUGAAAAGAAUAUCAUAAGCUUCAAUAAAAACUUAACAUAGCUCAAGCAAGAGUUCUUUAAGGAUAAGCAUGGACGGUGCACAAACUCACUUUCCUUUGUGCUGAAGCUUAAUUGAAUUACAAAGAAUGGGAAUAAUCCAAGGGUUGAAUUCUGAACCACUUGGUCAAAGAGGCUUUUCAUACGAUGUCAAGCACCAACUCUCCUAAAAGCAUAAAUUGGGUGGAGGCUCAAGGAUGUUUUAUGACAAAACAUAGACAAAACUCUUAGGACGACAAAGCAUACCUUCAGCUGAACUCGCUACUUCAUUAUUUAAUGGAGGAUCCAGAGAUUUGCUGUCAGAGAGGUUCUCAGUUUGGCUGGUUUGAGGGGCAUUACUCUGGCGCCUUUGGACAUUUCCAGCUUUUCCAGAAGAUGGGGUCAAGCUAAACAAUUUAGGAAGCUUUAAAGUGGGAGGACUAAUAGAAACCUUGUCAAGCUGAAUAUUAGAUAAUCUUGAAGUCACCUCAUUAACAUCAUCAGUGCUAUUGUCCUAAACAAUGUCAAGUGAUAUGGAAACAAUAGGGGCAAAAUCAGACAUGAUAUUGUGAAGGGAUUAAACCAACAAAACCACAUUAUACUAAAAUAGAAGAAUACCAUCCUCCCACUACUCUGUGAUUGUAUAGGUGAUGUUGACCGACCAUUGUGUCUACUCAUUGGUGGUAGAUUUGCAGCUAUACAGUUAACCUUUUCUGUACACUCUGAUAUGGACUUCUGUAUGGUUGGAGCAACGUCCUUGAGUUGGUUAAUAAGAACCUGCAAAUUAAACAUGGAACUGUGUGAAAUUCCUAGGAGAAGAAUCUUUCUUGUAUAGGAACAACAUUUAAGGAUCAACUCUAUACAAGAUACUACUUGAGAUUGAAACCGUAAAAUAAUUCUCGAGAACUUGAAAGAUUCCUCUCACUCUCAUUCUAUAUAUAAGAAAGUGAUACAAAAGUACAUGAUAAAUAGGAUAAUCCUAGCUGCAGACUUAGGUACUACUAUAUAUAUAUACUAGACACAAUAAUGAUGAUAAAUAGAGAAAAUAUUCUAACAAUACUCAAUUCCUACUGCAAAAAAGAUGACGAGGUAGAGCAAAGUAGGCUUAAAAUAUACAUCAAUGUUUAAGUGUAAAACCAGCAGCUAACUGAAAGAGAAUGCAACGCCUCCAUGACCAGAGAUAUAUGCUGAAUAAUAAGCUAACUUGUAUUUUACUCAUCUACUUGCAUCAAUACAUUGCCCACAGACACAGCAAUAAUUAUGUACAAGAAGCUGUCAGCAAACAAGGAAAAUAAAGGGUCUAUUUUCAUCUUAAAGAUACAGUCCACCAACUAAAAAAUGUAAGAAUUUAAUAUAAAUCUAAUCCCUCAUACAUAAAGAACAUGCUAAAAAGAUUUGAACAAAACUUUUUGUCCACUUUUAUAAACAAUACAUUCACAAGCAAAGUAAAUUUUCCGUCCACCAACUAAAAAAUGUAAGAAUUUAUAUAUAAAUCUAAUCCCUCACACAAAGGGCAUGCUAAAAAAAUCUCAACAAAACUUUUUGUCCACUUUUGUAAGUAAUACAUUCCCAAGUAAAGUAAAUUCUCCAGUAAAUAAAUAUAAUUUAAUGCACAAUAAAAGUCCCAAAAAGGACAAUUAACUUCGUAAAAAAAAUAAGGACAUGUACAUCAUUUCUCCUUCUGCAGAUAAACAUCAAGUUGGUAUAAACUGCAUUAGAAAGAAAUCCAACCUUAGUAGAAUUUAGCUUAAUAAAACAUAGUUUAAUGCAUUACCUGGAAACUAGCUAAAUGUUGCUGAUGCUCUGCAAGGGUUGCUGCUAAAGACUCAGCAUGGCCACUCGAACCCUCUUCCUGUCCACUGCGCAAUAUAUCUGGACCCUCUCCAUCAUUUGCUUUUGACUACAGACAAUGGUAUGGUUUAGAUGUUUCUCUAAGCAAUAAAUAAGAUAACCAAAUAUGACAUGGAUCAACCUACUACUAGUCAUUAUUUUUAUCAACUGAAUAAUAAAGAAAAUAAUCAUGGUCUAUAAUUAAAAUUAAUAAUAAUCACCAAGUAUUUAGAGCAAAAAAGUUUCAUUAUCUUAAUUUUCAAAGUCUGGACUAUAAAAACAAAAACUAUAUUAUUACACACACUAAAAUGAUUCGGGAAAACUUACUCAUGAACAAAACAACAAUGUUAAGAAAAGAACCUUUAUCAUGAUUAUAUAGUUCUAUGUUUUUCCAAAGGUAUAUAUUCAGUGUUAUAAUUAUAGAAAAAAGGGAGAUUUAUUUCAUAAUCAUGCAAAAUUAGGACUUUCUCCCUAGACAAAAAUGCAUAAGACCAUGCCAAGUUUAAAAUAGCUGAAUAAACCUCUUUAUUGAAUUGAAAUAACUGAAUCAAAGAAAACAAACAAUAAUUGAGAGCAGGAUCUCCGUCAGUUACCUCAGAACCUAACCUCUCUUACAAAACUCACAAAUCAAAAGCAUGCCUUUAACCCUAGGCUUCCCCUUUAUUUAUCCUAAUUAAUUCCCUCCCAAAAAGGUACUAAAUAAUAGAAAAUAACCCUAUUUGCUAUAAUUAUCUUAUACAAAUAACUUUAGCCUUAUUCACUAUAUUUAACUUAUACGUAAUAAUAUACUGAGAUAUGGCUGUUACUCUAAUUAUCCUUUGCUGAAUAUCUCUCUUGUUACUCUAAUUAAUUUCCCGCCCAUCCUAACUAUUGUGACAGUUAGGAUGCUUCCUCGUUGCUUCCAACCGCUCGGCCAACUUGCUCCCUGUUGUUCACCGUUCGGCCAUCCUGCUCCCCCCUUUCUACCAUUCGGCCCAUGUCCUCUACCGUUCGGUCAGCUUGCUCCCUUCCUUCUACUGUUCGGUCAGCUCUCUCUCCACCUUCUACCAUCUGGCCAGCUCGCUCCCUAUUGUUAACUAUUCAGCCAUCAUGUUCCCCCCUUUCUACCGUUCGGCCCCUGUCCUCUACCGUUCAGUCUCCUUCUAUUUCCCUCCUAUACUUCCUUCUCUCAUAUACUUGCCAGCCCCUAACAGCGUACAUCUCGCAGCACACUAGUAGUUAGUAUUAUACCAAUACUCAGCCCAAGGAAGCACUACACUCUAGCUUUUUGGUUGCUCUGAGCAAAAGCAUCUCAAAUAACCCUCCAAAACCCUGUUUAAUACUUCCAUAUGCCCAUCAGAUUCAAGAUGAUAGGCAGUACUCAUCUUCAUUUGUGUCCCUUGCAUCUUGAAUAACUCCUUCCAGAAAACACUCAAGAACAAUGGGUCUCGGUCACUAAAAUUGAAGAUUGGUACCCCAUGCAAAUGGACUAUCUCCCUGGAAGAUACUUCCGCUAUGGUGCGGGCAUAAUAAGGGUGUCACAAAGGUAAGAAAUGACUGUAUUUGCUAAGGCAGUCCACCACCACUAGCACAACAUCAUAUCCUUGAGAUUUGGGCAGCUUGACUAUAAAAUCCAUACUUACUUCUUCCCAAAUAGCGCGAGGUAUGGGUAAAGGUUGUAACAACCCUUGAGGGGAGGAGGCUAGGUAUUUAUGUUGUUGGCAUACCAGAUAGCUAGCAACAAAGUUAGUAACCGUCUUCUUCAUCCCUAACCAAUAAAGCGACUGGGCUACCUUGCGGUAGGUCCUGUAAACUCCAGAAGGUCCCACUGUGCUUGUCAUGUGGAACUCGACUAUGAGCUUGGGAAUCCAAGUUGAUUUAGUAGAGAUCAUAAGUCUUCCUUUAUGAUGUAAUUGGUCAUGUUCCAGUGUGAAAGCUGGAUGUGAGUUGGGAUCCUUCCUGAUAUCUUCUAUCACCCGAGCCAAUGCCUCAUCCCCCUUAACCUCCCUCAAAAUUCCCCAACAAGGCCUUGCUACCACCCUCAAUUACUUCUCACCUUCUCCAUUUUCCUCUUUCUUUCGGGAUAACACAUUUGCAGCUCUGUUAGUGCUUCCUGACUUGUAUCUAAUCUCAAAAUCAUACCCUAGUAGUUUUGCUAUCCAGUUCUGCUGAUUCUGGGUAGUGAUGCGUUGUUCUAAUAGGUAUCUAAGGCUUCUUUGAUCAGUGUGAACAACAAAUCUUUGUCCUAAGAGAUACGGCCUCCAAUGCUAUAUAGCCAUGACUAAAGCCAUAAGCUCCUUUUCAUAUAUCGAUUUAUUCAAUGACCCCUCCAACAAUGCUUUGCUAAAGAAAGCAAUAGGUCUUUUUCCUUGGGUGAGAACUGCCCUAAUCCCUCCUCCUGAUGCAUCACACUCUAUAUGGAAAGGCUGAUUAAAAUCAGGUAAUGUCAGCACCGACGUUGUGGUAAUGGCUUCCUUCAGCCUGGCCAUAGUAGCACUGGCCUGUUCUGUCCAUGUGAACUGCCCUCUCUUCAACAACUCUGUCAAGGGCUUGGCAACCUUUCCAUAAUCCUUAACAAAACAUAUGUAGUACCCUGUUAAACCCAAAACGUGAUGAUGGCAUUGGGGGCACUGCUUGUAAGCAACAAGGUCAAGGCAAAAGGUAGUGAGGCUGAAGAAGAGAAGCGUGUGUAUUAAUGUUGAAUAAGUUUUUAGUAGGCCUGACCCAAAUUUUAACAAUGAAUCAGUUUGGCUUUAAACCCAACAGAAGACAAAAAUAAGAUAGCAACCCUGCAUUUAGGGUUUCUUCUUCUUGCCUUACGCUUUUGCCCUCAUGAAUAGGAUUUUUUCUCUACUUUCUUCUUCACAUUGCUACCUUUCUUUCUUCUUAGUGUCACAGCCCCACCUUUUCUGCCAUAUCCGCUCUGCACCCACAGGUCGUUUUGCAAAAAAUGGCCGCCAUGGGUCACCACGAGAAACCCGCUUUGCAUGCCUUAUUGUGGCAGCAGGUUGCAACAGUGCCACUAGUUUCCACCAUGGCGUCGCCAUAACCGAGUUUGAUAACAUUCUGAGGAUUCAUUUACCUCAUUGUACAUGCGGAUGCCAUUGUUGUCACACGUAGUGAUAAAGCAAGUAUUGUCCAACUAAGAAGAUAAGUUAACAAUUUUUUAUCAACGGUUCUAGACAAUAUUUGGACAAUUGAAGUAUUUCCUUGGUUGCACAAUCCAAGGAUGGUUUAGCCAUAUUUUAAAUGCUAACACACCAAUGGAUCCAAGUGUCAAACUUGUGUUUGACCGGGGAGAGUUGUAUUGUAACCAUGGGAGAUAUAGACAAUUAGUUGGUCAGCAAAAUUAGCACAAUAUGAGUCGUCCUGAUAUUGCAUUUGUACACAGCGUAGUAAGUCAAUUCUUAUACCCCCCACGUCAAGAUCAUUGGGAUGUGACCACACAAAUUCUAAAGCAAAUUAGGAAUGCUCCUAGCAAAAUCUUUAUUAUUUAUUUAUGAAGGUAAAGGAAAUACUUAAAUUGUUGAGUAUUCUAGGAGUGACAAGACAGAGCACCAAUAGAUAGAUACUUCACUUCAAGGGAUUGUGUUCUUAUUGGAGAUAAUUUAAUAUCAUGGAAAAGUAAUAAAAAUGUUGUGGAAAUAUCAAGUGCAAAAGUAGAAUACAGGACAAUGGCAUUAGUCACUUGUGAGCUUAUAUAGCUAAGGCAACACCUCAAAAAGCUUAAAUUUGAAGAGAAGUUUAUGAACGCAGCUUAAAUGUGACACUAACAACAUAAUACAUUACCUCUAAUCUAUUUUUUCAUUAGAGAAAACAUUGUCUUUCAACAUUGAAACAAGUAUCCUUUGUAUGGCCACAACUUUUACAAUGCCAACACUAACCCUCCUCUCUCUUGGUGUGCAUCUUUUCCAAAUUUCAAUUUCCAACUUUUGGAAUCUUGUCAACUAUCAAGGCAAUGCUUUCACUAGGUUUCUCAUUCAUCGUAAUCAUCCUCAUGUUUGGCAAUGCUUUCACGCCAAACAAUGCAGAAAGCCUCUCAAAGAGAUGGAAGUGUCUCCUUCCCAAGAAUUUGAGCCCGAAUAAGUUAAUAUUCAGGAUUACAUUCAAAAUUCUUGACCUUUAAGUAGUUCAUGCAAAAGGAGGAACAUUAGUAUUAUUUUCCAAUUCCAAAUCCUAGUUAAUCAAUUUAAUUUAUUUAAAAUUUCAUAGUAAUCAGUCAUUGAAAAAGAAUCAUAAUUGGGACCAAAGACUCUACUUUCCAACUCAUACUACGUACAAAUAUCUUGCCUCACAGAGCAUGUAUGAUGAAGAUUGUUCCAUAUUUUCCUAGUGGUGGAAAAGAGCACAUAGUUCUAGUUAAUCUUCAAUAUUACCCCACAACCAUGUCAUGAAGAGAGAGUCAUCAUCUUUCCAUGUCUCAAAUUGAAGAUCCAACUCAUUGAGAGCAUUCCCUUCAAUAUGACUCAACCUCUUCUGACCCUUCAAUGUCUUACGAAUACAAUGUGCCAUCACAAGAUAAUUAAACCAUUGAGCCAAUUAGCUAUUGGUAGCACAAGAAGAUCAUUAAACGUCAAGAGUACUAAAGGGGUGGACCUAGGCUACUAGCAGCUCAUGGAAGCUUUUUCUCCAGACAUCAUCAAUUACACACUCAUGAAAGAGCACAUGGAUGGUUGGCUUUGCCUAGGGUUCAACCUCAACAAUCAUGACUACCUUGAAACAGAGAGGAGGGGUCAACAAGUCCAGGGGUGGUAGUCUCGCCAUGUUCCAACUUUGGUAAGGCAACGUGUGGCUUACAAGUGCUCAAAAUGUUGACACUCAAUAGCAUGUGUGACCACGAUUCAGGGCUCGAGUCUUUCAAGAAUACAUCAAUCAAGGAUACACCAAGUAUGGAUGCUGGGAAAAAAAUCCAGCAAUGAACAGUGACAGAAUGAAAAGAAGGGGUCGCAAAAAAGACUGUUGAAAAAUGAGAAAAGUGGAAAAUCAUGGUCCACAAGAUUGGGAACUCUAAUGCCAACUUGAAAAAGAGAGGAAUAAUCUUAAUAUUUUGUGAUAAUAAUCUCAGUGUACAAGGUUCCUUUUAUAUCGCUAUGACAAUAAAUUCAUUCCCUGAAUUGGGGGAUUCAAUCUUUCAUGAUUAUGAUAAUAUACUAAUUACACAUAAUAGGGAAUAAAUAAGGAAACAAAAAAAAAUAAUAUUUACAACAUCAAUAAAUUUCCUAUCUUACAAUGUUGGCAUCUCAGAUAUGAACCCAAAACAUAUCACAACAUCACCAUUAUCAGAUUUUUAAAUGAUAAUAAAAAUUAAAAAUUAAAAAAAUGCAAUAUGAGGUGCUUGAUUACAAUAUGAUAUCAGUCCUUGAAGUUCUUUUUUACAGGGUUUUGUGCUCAAAAGGUUUAAAUUUACUAAUGAUUCCCUAUUUAUAAACGCAGUUCAUUAAACCAUUUUUAAACCAUAUCACUAGUAAGCAUAUAAGUGUCUCUUAUUACACAUACAGCUAUAAUAGCCAAAAUUUGACAAGGUAUUUUAAACUUGACAUUUAAACCUCACCUCCUUUUCUCCAAAUGGAUCAAAAAAUGAAGAAACAAAACCAGAGGACAAAAGAGAUGAAAAAAGAUAGUCAUCCACCAAGUUAGAAUGACACCCAAAGCAAUAAAGAGGAACCCGGACUCCUUGCCUCAAAGCAUGCAAGACAUGGGUUCUUCAGGUUAACCAGUAGAUGACUCUAGCAGCCAGCAAUUUUACUAAAGAGCAUUUGCUCAUUUUAUUUUACUCCCUUAUUUUCUCACAUUAAUUCAACAGCUUCAGAUUUUAAGGGUCAUCUAGGUGUCAUCAGAGUGAAAAUAAUACACUGGAGAGUGAACUUUGACAGCAUAGCUCAAUGCAGCAUCUUUUGGGGAUAAACAAGGAGGCUCUAUUGAUUCUUUUCUUCAUUCAGAUCAAUACAGAUUAUCUAAAAUAAAAAAUCGUCUUAGUUGCAGAGUUCAGAUUUGGCUUCAACAAGAUAAUGUCAAACUCAAAGUUGAAGCUAUCCUAUCAUGCUUGAAAGAAAGGAAUU
rnacentral:lncRNA from 1 species